GCACUACUGAGGAGUCCCACAAUAGGAUGAAACGGCUGUCCAGUGC
rfam:Schistosoma margrebowiei strain Zambia genome assembly, scaffold: SMRZ_scaffold0001674